rnacentral:lncRNA from 1 species
AAUGCACUGUCUUAUUCACUUAAGGAUUGUGAAUGGUUAGUACAAUUGUGCAAAGAUAUGAAAAUUCCUGUCAAAUGUCCAAUCCAGGUUUACCAGGACAACAAAGCAUGUUUGGCUUUGCUGAAGUCUGAAGGUUGUAAGCAAAGCACAAAGCACUUGCAAUUAAAGUUGCAGCAUGCUAGGGAAUGUAUUCAGAAGGGACUCGUAACAGUGUCCUAUAUGCCAGGUAAUGAAAUUCCUGCUGAUGUAUUGUCCAAGAUUGUAUCAAGGGAUCAACACUGUACCUAUGUGCAGAAGUUGGGUUUGUACUGAUACUGUGCGAACACGCUGCCCAGUGAUGUUCACAGAAAGGGGAGGAUGUUGGUUUCUGCUUUCCUUCACUGUGCAGCUCUGCUUGUCACGAGACAGGUGUUUACAUUCCACAGUCUGUACUGUUGGAGUUUCUCACGGGAAAGGGAGACUGGAUGUGACGUACACUGGUUUCCUGUUUUUCACUGUGUGAUUCUCUCCGAGCUGUCGAGGAGAGAGGAUGCAUUUUUCUGCUCCUGCAGAGGCAAGAUGUCUUUCUGUAAUAUACCAGC